rnacentral:sRNA from 1 species
AAGGUUCGACUCGAGCGAAAGCGAGAGAACGUUGCCAACGGCAACGGCCCGUAGGGUGAGGAGCGAAGCGACGAAUA